UGAUGAUCUCUCUGUGUUGCCUCGGUGAUCUUGAUCUGCAAGAGUGGAGAGGCUAAAAGGAGAGAGUACAAGUUGGUUGGAUGAUAUGUGCGAAAGAGAUGAUUCGCUUUAUCCUGGAAACUGCCUGAACAUAUACUCCUCCAUGCUCUACACUUGCAUACAUACAUAAAGCAAGCACCAUAAAUCUUCUCAAGCAACAAUGGUGUAACUCGAGGCAUCAAGUAUCGGCGCCUAGGUUCGCAGACGUUUUAAUCGAGGGUAGGCUGAGAUUGGUGUGUUUUCGCGGAUUGAAAUUAAUGCAUCAGGCGUGGAACGAUUGAAAAUCACGCGUGGAAGAGCACAACUCCAGCGUGGCGAGGUUGGGUGAUGGAUGACCAAGCUGGAUUGCCGAGACGUGUUUGUUGUGACGGACGAAAGCUCUUUUGAAGUUUCUUUUUACAUAUAGCGACGAAUAAGAUCUGGCAUCGACAAAGAUGAGAAAUUUUUCAUCAAUGUUUGGAACAGAAUUUUCUCAUAAACUGUUACACAUAUUACAAUGAAAAGUACACAAAGAUCCGUUUUCAAUGAAACGUACGUAUUGCCUCUGUAGACUUAAUUUCUAGCUUUAUUAUCAAUUUCUUCCUCCAUUACGAUCUUUCACAACUAAUAACAAAAAUUCUCAUUUCAAAAUGGAAUUCUCAUCUCAUUCUCAUCUUGCAAGAACAUAACCUCAAAGAGUAAGCGCUAUUACAUUAAAAUACUUGCAUGUCGUCAUUAAUAGGUGUUAACCCAAGGUAGCAAUCUAUAGAGAGACUUUCGAACGUUUGAGGAAGUCUCAGAGCAAGCGUCUGGGUUUGUCGUCAACGUCGGAACACGUUUAUCGAAAGUGAAGACAUUAGCGCGGCUUCAUCGUCUCUCCCGUUCACUUCUGGGAAGCGAAACGACCAAGCAGAAAAUCCCGGAUCCUGGCUCGUGGCCAACUGAAAAUCAGAUCGCCAAUAAAGAGGCCGAUAAAUAACGCGGCCAAACACCAAAAUAAUACUCGUUGCUGAUCAAAGUCGAAUAACUCGCGGCGUUUUCCUGACCCCUCUAACCUUCCCUUGCGGCUGAAAACCUCGAGGGUUUUGGCCACCGAUCGACCUGAUUUUUUGACAGUUCUAUGCUUGUACAUACAGUGCCCCGUGAAAGUAUGAAUUAUUACAAAGACUCGACUUAUCAUAGAAAAUAUUUAUGUACACACCAAUUAUGUGUGUUAUAUAAAACAUCUUAAAGUAUCAUUAUCGCUAUAAAGAGACACGACUGUCGAUUGUAUUGGCAAAAUGAAACCAAUCUGAAGAUUUAUAUAGAAAUCACGAGAUAUUUAUUGUGAACAUAUAUUUGGUACGGAAGUAGUUCGCAUUAAUAGUCAGCAUAAAUAGCCACCAUCAUAAACAUUUAAUAGGCGUCAAAUGUGGCUCCAUUGAAUAUUCAGGCUUAGUGAUAUUAGGUUGUUCAAAAGUUUAAAAAAUUAAAGAAGAUAAAUCUAGAGCUUGAAUUUUAACCAUCUAAAAUAAAAUAAAAGGAUUAAAAUAUAUUUUAAAUAUUUGGGGACAGGAGAACAAAUUAAUGUGAAUUUGAGUCACCUAACAUUGUAAGACAUUAGGGUAUCUUUAUUAUUUCUGUUUGUUUCUUCUCCUUAAAAGCUAUUUUAUUAUUUAGAAAUGAGAAUAAACGUUUCGCAACGUAGUAAAAGAUACUUCAAAAAUUUGUAGGAGACGAAAUUAAAUGAGCAUCGUUAUUCAGGGUCUCCUGGAGGAGGGCCCAUCUACGCAACACACAAGGGGUUGUACACGUGCGUGAGUUCCUGCCGCACGCACCGUUUCACGAUAUUAACGCGGGCUUAAUUGCGCGUACUGGGGCGCAUUUAAUCGGUGCACAUGCGAAUGUGUGCCUCGUCGUGCACCGCUGCAGGUUAAGAGUCUUCAGAGGCUCCUUUUUCUGCCAACGACUACGUUUUAUGGCUUCCUUCCUUGCGCACGCUUUCGUCGAAACAAGUAAAACAAAUUGAUGUAUAUUCUUCUUUGUUUUCUUUAUCUUUUUCUAUCUCUUCAAAA